AGGUUGUUUCCCUCCUGCCUCCCCACCCCCACAGGUUUCCCUGGUAACUGAUGAGUCAACCUGAUGUCAAUUCUUAUAAAGGUAGCCUCUUUCUCUCCCCUUUAGGGAAGAUGGUUAUCAUGUCCUGUUUGCUGUCAUACGUGGAUUGGGUGUUGGGUCAGGACCAUUUGUUUUGGACAUGAACUUUGAAACUGGACCAAGAUGGGUUUGUCACUCAAACAUGAGGUCAUGGGACUGCGUUGUGAGAAACAAAGGUUUAUGUAGCUAAGUUGUGCACCUUUCCCAAGAAUGACAUUAUCACUCGGGUAAAGGAGAAGGAACUCUAUAAAGUGCUGAAAGGACUUUUAUCCUUAAGUGUUUGCUCAAACACAAAUGAUAAAACAAGCUGAUUAUGUGAUGGGAAGAUAAAAUUAAAUCAUUAACUUUGUAUUCAUCCAACCAGUAUUGGUUAACUUGCCAUGUACUAGAUGCUGGGGACACAUUCAUAUACUAAUGCGUACUCUGUUGUUUUAAUAUGAAAUCUAUUAUGAUGAAGAGAAUCUUCAGCUUAGCUUAAAAGUAAGCUGACAUGUUGGUUUAUUAUUUCUAACUCAUCAUUUUUAUACAGGGUCCCUACACAGGGACUCAUCAUCAGUGAUUCACAAAUUGAAAAUUCUAUAACAUACAGUAUAUUGUGGUGAUUUGUAGUAUCUCUUCUUACCAGCUGCAAGAAAAAAUAUAAGCAAUAAAUAUACUCAUAUGAGAAACAAAAAAAGUACAUAAAAAUUAAGAGCCAUACAUACCAAGUACUAACUUGGUUAUUUUCACAUUUUGAGGACUAUAGGUAAUUAAUAUAAAUGAACAUUUUUUUUUUCUUAUUUUUUAUGUUUCUAGUUCCAUGGGGUUAGUCUUUUUUAAAAAGGGAUAUAAUUAAAGCCUGAGGAACUGGACAACAUAUUCAUCCAAGAAUUAUAGAUCUUCAGAAUAUGUUAAAAAUCAACACAAUUCAACUUUGAGAUAUUACUGCUUUGCUACUUAAAAAAUGAGCAUAUUUUUUUUUGAAACAUGCUCAGGAAAACUCUUUUUUUUGUGAAAGCAGUUCUGCUGC